UACGGAGGGGGCUAGCGUUGUUCGGAAUUACUGGGCGUAAAGCGCACGUAGGCGGCUUUGUAAGUUAGAGGUGAAAGCCCGGGGCUCAACCCCGGAAUUGCCUUUAAGACUGCAUCGCUUGAAUCCGGGAGAGGUGAGUGGAAUUCCGAGUGUAGAGGUGAAAUUCGUAGAUAUUCGGAAGAACACCAGUGGCGAAGGCGACUACCUGGCCUGUUCUUGACGCUGAGGCGCGAAAGCUAGGGGAGCAAACGGG
rnacentral:rRNA from 1 species